rnacentral:rRNA from 1 species
UAGGGAAUCUUCCGCAAUGGACGCAAGUCUGACGGAGCAACGCCGCGUGAGUGAAGAAGGAUUUCGGUUCGUAAAACCCUGUUGUUAGAGAAGAACAGCGCAUAGAGUAACUGUUAUGCGUGUGACGGUAUCUAACCAGAAAGCCACGGCUAACUACGUGCCAGCAGCCGCGGUAAUACGUAGGUGGCAAGCGUUGUCCGGAUUUAUUGGGCGUAAAGCGGGCGCAGGCGGUCAAUUAAGUCUGAUGUGAAAGCCCCCGGCACAACCGGGGAGGGUCAUUGGAAACUGGUUGACUUGAGUGCAGAAGAGGAGGGUGGAAUUCCAUGUGUAGCGGUGGAAUGCGUAGAUAUAUGGAGGAACACCAGUGGCGAAGGCGACUCUCUGGUCUGUAACUGACGGUGAGGCUCGAAAGCGUGGGUAGCAAACAAG